rnacentral:rRNA from 1 species
GAGUGAACAGGGAUGAGCCCAACACCGAAGCCUUCGGUCAUUUGACCGUUAGGCAAUGUGGUGUUCAGGUUGGUGCGUUGAGACACUGCUCCUCUCUAAGUCCAUCAAUGAGUACGGUUGUACUUACAUGGCCCACGGAGGGUGAAAGGCCCGUAAGAGUGGAGUUCAGUCACGACAGUGUCUCUCUGGAUCGACCUUGGAGUCGGGUUGUUUGGGAAUGCAGCCCAGGGUGGGUGGGUAAAUCCAUCCAAGGCUAAAUACAACACGAGAAACAAGUACCGUGAGGGAAAGUUGAAAAGUACUUUGAAGAGAGAGUAAACAGUGCGUGAAACCGCUUAGAGGUAAACGGGUGGAGUUGAACUGCAAUCUCUGUGAAUUCAGCUGGUGAGUGUGAAUUGAGCUUGGUCAAAUUGGGCAGGGCCCCGAGGUAUGCUUAGCUGCAUGUCCUGAUCUCCGGGUCGGGAUGCGCGUUGCUCUUAUCAAGAGCUGUGCGCCUCGGGUGUCCGGCUGGCUCGUUCGCCAGUGCACUUUCUCAGAGUGAUCACCACGACCGGCGCUGCCGUUCGGCUGUCCGGGUUGAAUCGGUCAUUCAUCGUCCUUGUGGUGUUGUUUGGCCGACACGGCAGGUCGCUGGGUGCUCGCUCCGGCGGGUAUUCCGGCAUAUGCUGGCCUGGACGGUUCUGUGCGGUGUGUCGGAGACGGCGGCUUGUGUGUAAAUGCGUGCUCUGUCUGCUGAUGUAUUCUGACUCGGUGGCUGUGUGCUUGUUCAAGCAGGCCCAGUUAUAGUCGGUGUAUGUCGGUGGGCGGUUGCGUGUGUGACACUUCAUCGGGCCUAUAGUCUGUGGUGUUGUGGUAGACUGUCCAUCCGACCCGUCUUGAAACACGGACCAAGGAGAGUAACAUGUGCGCGAGUCAUUGGGCGUAACGAAACCCAAAGGGCCAGUGAAAGUAAAGGUUUGGCUUGUCCAGAAAAAGGGGAGAUCCAGUCGUUUUUCAUGCGUGGUACCACCAAGCUUGGAGCGGCAGGCGCAUCACCGGGCCGUCCCAUGAGGUAGUCACUGUCCCCUGAUGGUGCGCCGUCGGGGCGGAGCAUGAGCGUACAUGUUGAGACCCGAAAGAUGGUGAACUAUGCUUGCGCAGGUUGAAGCCAGAGGAAACUCUGGUGGAGGACCGCAGCGAUUCUGACGUGCAAAUCGAUCGU